AUGUUGCAGCACAAGCUUGCACAGAAAAAAGGAAAUGCAACACAGGAAUCAACUGUACAAUUAGGCUCACAUCUGCAAGAAGGUCUGCACUCGAGAUGUGGAGGUUAUGAGAGUUUUAGAGCCUUGGCACUGGCUACACUGCUGGACCCAAGGUUCAAAAAUGUGGCAUUUGUUAAUCCUGCCAAAGCCCAGGACGCUGAAAAGCACAUCACACUGGAGUGUGCGUCGCUGAUGCGUUCAAACACAACUCCUGAGCCACAAAUGUCAACAUCAGGCCCAUCAUCAUCAUCAUCAUCAACAUCAACACCAGUAGAAAAACUGGACAGUUUAUGGGAACUUUUUGAUAAUCGUAUCCAUAAAACCCAGAUGAUACACAAUGCUACAGCUAAUGCCACAGUGGAAGUGAAAAAAUACCUCCAUGAUGCGUUUUUGCCCAGAACUCAUGAACCCCUAAUUAACUGGAAAGAGAGAGCAGUAAUCUUUCCUCAUUUGUAUGUCCUUGCUAAAAAAUAUCUUUGCAUGCCAGCAACAAGUGUCCCUUGUGAGAGGAUUUUUUUAAAAGGCUGGAGAAAUUAUCUGUGAAAAACGAAGUAGGCUAAGUCCUUCCACAGCAGAGAAAUUAAGAUUUUUUAAUAAAAAUCUCUAAAAAAAGUGAGACA
ensembl:lncRNA